rnacentral:rRNA from 1 species
GAUGAACGCUGGCGGCGUGCUUAACACAUGCAAGUCGAACGAAGCACUUUUGUCAGAUCCCUUCGGGGUGACGACGUUAGUGACUGAGUGGCGGACGGGUGAGUAACGCGUGGAUAACCUGCCUUACACAGGGGGAUAACAGUUAGAAAUGACUGCUAAUACCGCAUAAGCGCACAGCAUCGCAUGAUGCCGUGUGAAAAACUCCGGUGGUGUAAGAUGGAUCCGCGUCUGAUUAGCUAGUUGGUGGGGUAACGGCCCACCAAGGCGACGAUCAGUAGCCGGCCUGAGAGGGUGGACGGCCACAUUGGGACUGAGACACGGCCCAGACUCCUACGGGAGGCAGCAGUGGGGAAUAUUGCACAAUGGGGGAAACCCUGAUGCAGCGACGCCGCGUGAAGGAAGAAGUAUCUCGGUAUGUAAACUUCUAUCAGCAGGGAAGAAAAUGACGGUACCUGACUAAGAAGCCCCGGCUAAUUACGUGCCAGCCGCCGCAGUAACAC